UUCAUAGAGUAUGAGUGCUCCAGAGUCCAAGACCAUCGUCCUCGAGAAUACCUCUCGUAGGGAUGCCUUGAUUGAAAUCGAAAAGAAGUAUCAGAAAAU
rnacentral:misc_RNA from 1 species